rnacentral:rRNA from 1 species
UUGAACGCUGGCGGCAGGCCUGACACAUGCAAGUCGAGCGGCAGCGCGGGGCAACCUGGCGGCGAGCGGCGGACGGGUGAGUAACGCGUAGGAAUCUACCCAGUAGCGGGGGAUAGCCCGGGGAAACUCGGAUUAAUACCGCAUACGCCCUAAGGGGGAAAGCAGGGGAUCGUAAGACCUUGCACUAUUGGGAGAGCCUGCGUUGGAUUAGCUAGUUGGUAGGGUAAAGGCCUACCAAGGCGACGAUCCAUAACUGGUCUGAGAGGAUGAUCAGUCACACCGGAACUGAGACACGGUCCGGACUCCUACGGGAGGCAGCAGUGGGGAAUAUUGGACAACGGGGGCAACCCUGAUCCAGCCAUGCCGCGUGUGUGAAGAAGGCCUUCGGGUUGUAAAGCACUUUAAGUGGGGAGAAAGGUUCGGCAGCUAAUACCUGCCGGAAGUGAUGUUACCCACAGAAUAAGCACCGGCUAACUCUGUGCCAGCAGCCGCCGUAA